GGAGGACAUUUUCUGCAUUAGUUCGUUCCUCGAUACGGUACUUUUUUGUCUUUAUACCAGUCAUGGCUGAAAUAUUUGCUUUUAAUAUGGCUGUGAAGUGCAUUAGGUGUGUGUUUUGUAUUUAUUAUUGGGAUACGUGAUUGCAGAAAAGCUAUUCUCAUUUUAAUAAAGCACUCGGCAGGUCUGAGCAGUGUGACCAGGCCGCAUCGGCGUUGAAGAUGUGGCGACUGUACACCCACACGUGGUGACUUGGAGAUGGGCCCCUGACUGAUUUGGGCUUUAGUGUGGAUUGACCUCAGAGAUAACAGUACAGGAUUGGAUUGUGAUGCCUGAGAAACGUGCAUGGCUCCUGCAAACUACGUGCCACAAAUGUUUUUGUGUUCCCUAGAUAUCUUUUCUUGAACUGGAAAAUGUCUGUGUGAAUAAAGCAUUUGUCUUCAA